CUCCAGCUAACGAGUCCCAAAUAGGACGAAAUGCGCGUCAAACUGGAU
rnacentral:hammerhead_ribozyme from 1 species